CCUACGGGAGGCAGCAGUGGGGAAUCUUGCGCAAUGGGCGAAAGCCUGACGCAGCAACGCCGCGUGGGGGAUGAAGGCUCUCGGGUUGUAAACCCCUUUCAGCAGGGACGAAUCAAGACGGUACCUGCAGAAGAAGCCCCGGCUAACUACGUGCCAGCAGCCGCGGUAACACGUAGGGGGCAAGCGUUGUCCGGAUUUAUUGGGCGUAAAGAGCUCGUAGGUGGCUGAGUAAGUCGGAUGUUAAAUCCCCAGGCUCAACCUGGGACACCACCCGAUACUGCUCUGGCUAGAGUCCGGUAGGGGAGCGUGGAAUUCCUGGUGUAGCGGUGAAAUGCGCAGAUAUCAGGAGGAACACCAGCGGCGAAGGCGGCGCUCUGGGCCGGUACUGACACUGAGGAGCGAAAGCGUGGGUAGCAAACAGGAUUAGAUACCCUGGUAGUCCACGCCGUAAACGUUGGGCACUAGGUGUGGGGUCUAUUCAACGGACUCCGUGCCGUAGCUAACGCAUUAAGUGCCCCGCCUGGGGAGUACGGCCGCAAGGCUAAAACUCAAAGGAAUUGACGG
rnacentral:rRNA from 1 species